GUCAACACAUGCAUACAAUACCGGUAUUGAAAACAAAAUAAUCGAAUUUUUUUAUAUAUAUAUAUACUCGACAGAAAAGUUCUGCAGCAAAACAUGUUUUAUGUUGUAACGUUUUUAUUACUAAACGCACGGACAAAAUCAUACAUCAAAUAAUUUUGUGAUAUGUUCGGCGUUGCAUCUUCUUUCGAUGAAUUAUGAAUGCAUGGAUUAACUUUCCGAAGUUUUUUUUUAUAUUUAUAAAACAAUAGACUAGAAUGAUAUCCGAAAAUACAGUACCAUAAUAAAGAUCAAACUUGAUUAUCAAAAGGAAGAAUUGAUUUUGUAGUGGUGUAAAUCAUGUAACUCUUGUUCGUUUAUAUUGGUUUGAUAAAUGAAUUGUUGCGGAUGCUGAGUUUCGUGGCGGAUUUUGGAAGGUUGAUGUUUGGGAGGGGGGAUGAUCUUCUGGAACAAUUAAUGCUGAACGACAGACUUGUCACAUUCCUGUUUUGUUUUAUUUUAGGUUAAAACGAUAUAUUUGACUGAGGUCUCAAGGGCCUAGAAUGCUCGAAAAAAUCGUUCUACUUUGUGUCCGUGGUUACUGCGGUAUCUACAACAUAUAGUUACAAAAACUGAAAGAAACUCUGAAUGCAUACCCAGAACUUUCAUAAGAAUUCAUGGAUAAACAUGACCAGAUACAAAUGCAAUUUAAUCUUAAGCGGGGAACUCUGACUGAAAGGAGGAAGACGUCAAAAAUGGUUGACGAGACCUAAAGGGUACGUCAAAAGAGGAUUCAUAGGCAGUCAAAAAGACGUAAAAGAUGAUACAGAGGGUUCGAUCAACUGUACACCAUUAAAUUUCAAGUUACAACAGGCACACGUGUAAAAAGGCGAAAUCACAACAAACAUUUCUGGUCUUAACCUUGGCAGAGUCGCACAACGUCAGCCGAUACAAGUAAAAAAUGUCGUCUGCUUUAUUAUAGAACGCAACGCCAGCCGAUACAACCAGUAAGUCAAUGGCACAGUCUGUUUCCGCCGGACUAUCAGGUCACCCAGGGAAACAUCAGAAAGGCCAGCGCCCUGUAGUAAUCGUCUGCGUUCCUGGGAAGAUGGUGAUACAGCGCCACCUGUAAGAGUGACACAAACAUUACAGUCAAACCUCGAGGAAAUCGACUGCAAGCUCAACUAUUUAGCAAAGUACGAGUGCUUAAACUUUUUGGGUCUUCACAUGGGCACAGUGGAAUAACGUCAGCCGAUACAACUAGUACGUCAAUGCACAGUCUGUUUCCGACGGAACUAAUGUUAUCCUGGGAAACAUUAGACAGUGGAGCGCCCUCUAGCGAUCGUCUACUAGUCCUCCGCGUUCCUGGGAAGCUGGUGAUACUGCGUCACCCGGAAGAGUGAGACAAACUCGAUGGAGAAAAUCAACUCCAAGUUCAUCCAUUUAGCAAAUCGAAUGCAAAAUUUGGAAAAACCUGCCAUGUGAUACAGUAGACAAGAUACUUCUUUUACUUGGACGACAACCAACCCAGUCUAGAGAUACAUUACCGGAACCAGACCGCCUACCUGAAACGUAUUCCAUACGUCGAGGUACUCGACUUGUCAAAGCUCCAAAUGAUCUCGCCAAACUUCUCGAUAGAAUGUGACUCCGCAUGCUAGUGUGCAAGAAUUUAUUUCAUUGACUUUGAAAUGUACAGCCUAAAAUUUUUUUAUUCUUCAUCAUAAAAGAUCCAUAU
rnacentral:lncRNA from 1 species